UGACAAGUAUUUUCAGCUGCGUUCGGG
rnacentral:piRNA from 1 species